CCUCAAAGAAGGCAGGCAAAUACAGGCUAAUGCAGAGAUAGCUGACAUCAACUUCCGUUAGGCAGCUUAUUCCAGAUCGAACCUUUCGAUUGUAACUGAAACAAUUUGCAUACUGAUUCCCCUUCAUAGCCUUCCAGAUCCAUAACAAGCCGGGCAGCAAUUCAAAUGCAAGCAGCAUCCCUAAAUGCAAGGAUAGAUCGGCCAAAAAGCGCUGCCCACGACCAGAGGAUAAGGGGAUCCUGCGUUUUUCGCUGGAUGUUGACUAUCUGUUAUUGAAAAUGGAGGAGAAAGCGAACAUCUUUCCCCCGGACUCAGGGAUGGACGGAGGGGUGUUGAGAUUCUUGACCUGGGUGCGCAGACGGUGAAUGGGAAGGCGACAAGGCUAGCAAGGGACUAAUACAACUUACCAAACCUGCGCCAAAACCACGGACAAGAUUCCAUUUUAAUUUGAAAUUAUGCAGAUGAUUUUUGAUUAGGGGCAAGUCCGUCCAGCUCUGGAUGUUAAAAGACUCAACAUGCCAUGAAAUUAGCUAAUAUGCCACGGAUCCUGGGGUCCCCAAGAAGCUCACCAGGGCAAAGUCCAGAAAAGUUAAUCUGCUCAAGUGGCAUCUGUUGGCUUUCGGAGUCUUGAAGCGUCACCUUUGACAUGUCCCUUUCUGAGUGGAGAGAGUCCAAACACUGACCACCGCAAGCUGUCACACCGAGCGGGAGGAGAAAAGGGACGCCUUCUGACAACUGUUCCAAACGUCAUCAAAAGUUACUCAAAUGCACGGUGUAACAAAAGGUUGUGGGUGACCAUUUCAGAAAAUAAAAGAAAAAGUAUACAGGAUUAUUAUGUAGGCCUAUAUAAAAAAGGCCAUAUAUAAAUACAUAUAAUCAUGUAUGUUUGUGCGACUUGUUUAUUAAAAUCCAAAAUGUACGAAUGCCUAAUUUUGAACUUGAUUUUGAUCAUUCUUGCCUUUAAUGUAAAUAUGUUCAUUGAUACCACGUCUGUAUUCAUGAUGCAUAGCUGAAAUUACAUGUGUUUUUCAGUUUGUUAUUAUAUUAUAAUAUGUAAGUAUAGACUACAUAAUAAAGCUGUUUUGUAUUUAUUUUUUUUUAUCUUCAAAAGCAGUCUAUAUACAUUUGGUAAAUAAUGAAAGCUUCUUGGUACAUUGAUUGAUUUAAAAAGUGACCUCAAUUCAUAUGGCCAGUACUUUGAAAUGUUAUGUCUAUAUCUCUGUAUAAACAAUAAAAUAAUAAGCACUUUUUGUUUUACUAUA